UGGGGGAUCGUCUAGCGGCAGGACUGUGGACUCUGGAUCCAUCAACCAAGGUUCGAAUCCUUGUCCCCCAGCCA
rnacentral:tRNA from 2 species